rnacentral:rRNA from 1 species
UACGAAGGGUGCAAGCGUUAAUCGGAAUUACUGGGCGUAAAGCGUGCGUAGGCGGUUUGUUAAGUCUGUUGUGAAAUCCCCGGGCUCAACCUGGGAAUGGCAAUGGAUACUGGCAGGCUAGAGUGUGUCAGAGGAUGGUGGAAUUCCCGGUGUAGCGGUGAAAUGCGUAGAGAUCGGGAGGAACAUCAGUGGCGAAGGGGGCCAUCUGGGACAACACUGACGCUGAGGCACGAAAGCGUGGGGAGCAAACAGG